UAAUCCUCGUUUAAAAGCAGUGGUUUGGCGGCCAUUUUAAAUAGCUAGAAAAAUGAACUUCCUUCAAACUGAGCUCUCGUAAGUCCUAGCCCUUAAAAAUUUGGCGAAAGUCAGGAUUGAUUUCUUUUACUUCUCCUUCGAAUAUCGAUGUGAAUUUGUCCCUGAAAACUUUGAGAACAAUAUUUUGAAGUACAGCCGUGACAUCAGUGUUUUCGAAUCGAGCGUCGACCGUAUUGAAGAGAUCACCAUCCUGUAUCCACUUUCUGUUUGUUGAACCUUCAGAGCACCAUCCCUUGUUAAGGACAGCUUCAAACAGGUAGUCGAUGUUUGGCUUCAGUUUGGGACUGACGGUUUCUCAAAAGGCUGAAAGUGCAAACUCUUUAUUCUAAUUCAGUCAAGGUUCAUACCUCUUGGACAGCCAGCAAAGUUACACUCCACAGCUACUUCAGACGAGCCUACACAUGGUGUACCACCAUGGACCGGUCUCG